rfam:Ictidomys tridecemlineatus contig099981, whole genome shotgun sequence.
UGGGGUGUGGCUCAGUGGUAGAGCAUUCAACUAGCACAUGUGAGGCACUGAGUACAAUCCUCAGCACCACAU